AUUAAAAUUUCAAAAUGUGAACCAGAGUAACUUCUCCCUCCAUUGAACUCAGUCCUCCUCCGACACACCGAAGGUCGCCUCCGGCGGUGGCGGAGCUUCAGUGUCCAAAAUGUUUACAUCAUCUUCCUCAACCUUUCCAUCUGAAUCUGAAUAUCAUGUUCAAAUACCCUAAUUCCUCCUCACAAAUUUGAAUCGUGACAACGAAUUGAAGAACCUUAAAUCUAAGAAGUAAAAUUAAAUCCCUCUCUUCCAGAAUCAAAGCACUAGAAGUUAGGGCUUUGAUUCCCCUAACCUACUUCUACAUUUCCGUAACUCGUAUAAAAUGAAAUGAUGAAGAAAUAAAGUAACUCACCAGAUAAGCUUCGAAAAUCAGGGUUAUGGCCUGACUGGCUGAAACAGGAGGUGAAUGCUGGCCUGCUUGAUGUGGAUGCUAGGUUUGAUGUUCAAUUGGUGCAGGUGAUGGACAAUGCAAAUAUGAUCCUAACUUGAAGACCAAUGAAAUUAGGACUUGGGGAUUUUGAAAUGAUGAGUUGACUUUGGUCAACUGGUUGACCAAAAAGUCAAUAGUUGACCAAAAGUCAACUUAUGCAAAAAUUGUGUACUUUUGUAAUCUUUUUAAAUGUGAUGUAUGGACUAU